rnacentral:rRNA from 1 species
CGUGUAGGCGGUAUGGUAAGUCAGAUGUGAAAGCCCUGGGCUUAACCCAGGAAGUGCAUUUGAUACUGCCAUUCUUGAGUAUGGGAGAGGAGAGUGGAAUUCCCAGUGUAGAGGUGAAAUUCGUAGAUAUUGGGAGGAACACCCGUGGCGAAGGCGACUCUCUGGACCAAUACUGACGCUGAGACGCGAAAGCGUGGGGAGCAAACA